UGGUGGGUUGCCUUGUCAGGUUGAUUCCGGUAACGAACGAGACCUCAGCCUGCUAAAUAGUUACGAUUGCUUUUUGCAGUCGGUUGACUUCUUAGAGGGACUAUUGGCGUUUAGUCAAUGGAAGUAUGAGGCAAUAACA
rnacentral:rRNA from 1 species